UUAAGCGACUAAGCGUACACGGUGGAUGCCUAGGCAGUCAGAGGCGAUGAAGGGCGUGCUAAUCUGCGAUAAGCGCCGGUAAGGUGAUAUGAACCGCAAUAACCGGCGAUACCCGAAUGGGGAAACCCAGUGCAAUCCGUUGCACUAUCCUGGCCUGAAUUCAUAGGGUCCGGAGGCGAACCGGGGGAACUGAAACAUCUCAGUACCCCGAGGAAAAGAAAUCAACCGAGAUUCCCCCAGUAGCGGCGAGCGAACGGGGAACAGCCCAGAACCAACAUCAGCAUCAGCGUCAGGAGAACGGUCUGGAAAGGCCGGCAGUAAAGGGUGAUAGCCCCGUAUCUGAAGACACUGGUGGUGUGAGUUCGACGAGUAGGGCGGGACACGUGGUAUCCUGUCUGAACAUGGGGGGACCAUCCUCCAAGGCUAAAUACUCCUGACUGACCGAUAGUGAACCAGUACCGUGAGGGAAAGGCGAAAAGAACCCCGGCGAGGGGAGUGAAAUAGAACCUGAAACCGUGUACGUACAAGCAGUGGGAGCCUUGAUUUAUCAGGGUGACUGCGUACCUUUUGUAUAAUGGGUCAGCGACUUAUAUUCUGUAGCAAGGUUAACCGUUUAGGGGAGCCGCAGGGAAACCGAGUCUUAACUGGGCGUUAAGUUGCAGGGUAUAGACCCGAAACCCGGUGAUCUAGCCAUGGGCAGGUUGAAGGUUGGGUAACACUAACUGGAGGACCGAACCGACUAAUGUUGAAAAAUUAGCGGAUGACUUGUGGCUGGGGGUGAAAGGCCAAUCAAACCGGGAGAUAGCUGGUUCUCCCCGAAAGCUAUUUAGGUAGCGCCUCGUGAAUUCAUCUUCGGGGGUAGAGCACUGUUUCGGCUAGGGGGUCAUCCCGACUUACCAACCCGAUGCAAACUGCGAAUACCGAAGAAUGUUAUCACGGGAGACACACGGCGGGUGCUAACGUCCGUCGUGAAGAGGGAAACAACCCAGACCGCCAGCUAAGGUCCCCAAGUCAUGGUUAAGUGGGAAACGAAGUGGGAAGGCUCAGACAGCCAGGAUGUUGGCUUAGAAGCAGCCAUCAUUUAAAGAAAGCGUAAUAGCUCACUGGUCGAGUCGGCCUGCGCGGAAGAUGUAACGGGGCUAAACCAUGCACCGAAGCUGCGGCAGCAACACUUAGGUGUUGUUGGGUAGGGGAGCGUUCUGUAAGCCUGCGAAGGUGUGCUGUGAGGCAUGCUGGAGGUAUCAGAAGUGCGAAUGCUGACAUAAGUAACGAUAAAGCGGGUGAAAAACCCGCUCGCCGGAAGACCAAGGGUUCCUGUCCAACGUUAAUCGGGGCAGGGUGAGUCGACCCCUAAGGCGAGGCCGAAAGGCGUAGUCGAUGGGAAACGGGUUAAUAUUCCCGUACUCGGUGUUACUGCGAAGGGGGGACGGAGAAGGCUAGACCAGCCGGGCGACGGUUGUCCCGGUUCAAGCGUGUAGGUGGGAAGAAUUGGUAAAUCCGUUCUUCCGUGAACACUGAGGCGUGAUAACGAGGCACUACGGUGCUGAAGUGGUUGAUGCCCUGCUUCCAGGAAAAGCCUCUAAGCAUCAGGUAACAGUGAAUCGUACCCCAAACCGACACAGGUGGUCAGGUAGAGAAUACUCAGGCGCUUGAGAGAACUCGGGUGAAGGAACUAGGCAAAAUGGUGCCGUAACUUCGGGAGAAGGCACGCUGGCGCCAGGUGACGGGACUUGCUCCCCGAGCCGAGGCCAGUCGCAGAUACCAGCUGGCUGCAACUGUUUAAUAAAAACACAGCACUGUGCAAACACGAAAGUGGACGUAUACGGUGUGACGCCUGCCCGGUGCUGGAAGGUUAAUUGAUGGGGUUAGCGGCAACGCGAAGCUCUUGAUCGAAGCCCCAGUAAACGGCGGCCGUAACUAUAACGGUCCUAAGGUAGCGAAAUUCCUUGUCGGGUAAGUUCCGACCUGCACGAAUGGCGUAAUGAUGGCCAGGCUGUCUCCACCCGAGACUCAGUGAAAUUGAACUCGCUGUGAAGAUGCAGUGUACCCGCGGCAAGACGGAAAGACCCCGUGAACCUUUACUAUAGCUUGACACUGAACCUUGAACCUUGAUGUGUAGGAUAGGUGGGAGGCUGUGAAGUGCGGACGCCAGUCUGCACGGAGCCAUCCUUGAAAUACCACCCUUGAAUGUUUGAUGUUCUAACGCAGGCCCGUUAUCCGGGUCGCGGACAGUGUCUGGUGGGUAGUUUGACUGGGGCGGUCUCCUCCCAAAGCGUAACGGAGGAGCACGAAGGUUAGCUAAUCACGGUCGGACAUCGUGAGGUUAGUGCAAUGGCAUAAGCUAGCUUGACUGCGAGAGUGACAGCUCGAGCAGGUACGAAAGUAGGUCAUAGUGAUCCGGUGGUUCUGAAUGGAAGGGCCAUCGCUCAACGGAUAAAAGGUACUCCGGGGAUAACAGGCUGAUACCGCCCAAGAGUUCAUAUCGACGGCGGUGUUUGGCACCUCGAUGUCGGCUCAUCACAUCCUGGGGCUGAAGUAGGUCCCAAGGGUACCGGCUGUUCGCCGUUUAAAGUGGUACGCGAGCUGGGUUUAGAACGUCGUGAGACAGUUCGGUCCCUAUCUGCCGUGGGCGUUGGAAGAUUGAAAGGGGCUGCUCCUAGUACGAGAGGACCGGAGUGGACGCACCACUGGUGUUCGGGUUGUCAUGCCAAUGGCACUGCCCGGUAGCUAAGUGCGGAAGAGAUAACCGCUGAAAGCAUCUAAGCGGGAAACUUGCCUUGAGAUGAGUCUUCCCUUGUCCCUUGAGGAUACUGAAGGAACGUUCAAGACGAGGACGUGGAUAGGCUGGGUGUGUAAGCGUAGCGAUACGUUGAGCUAACCAGUACUAAUGAACCGUGAGGCUUAACCU
rnacentral:rRNA from 1 species